rnacentral:tRNA from 1 species
CGGAAUAUAACACCAAUGGCAGGUGUAACGGGUAGCGCCCGUGGUUACAGGUUCGAUUCCUGUUGUUCCGA